CACGGUCUUUGGUGAUUCAUAGUAAAUUUUCGAAUCGCAUGACUUUACGUCGGCGAUGGUUCAUUCAAAUUUCUGCCCUAUCAAGUUUCGAUGGUAGGAUAGAGGCCUACCAUGCUUUUUACGGGUAACGGGCGAAUUAGGGUUCGAUUCCGGAGAGGGAGCUGAGAAACGGCUACCACAUCUAAGGAAGGCAGCAGGCGCGCAAAUUACCCAAUCCUGAUUCCAGGGGAGGUAGUUGACAAUAAAUAACAAUCCAGGACUUCGGUCUUGGAAUUGGAAUGAGAACAAUUUAAAUCUCUUAUCGAGGAACAAUUGGAGGGCAAGUCUGGUGCCAGCAGCCGCGGUAAUUCCAGCUCCAAUAGCGUAUAUUAAAGUUGUUGCAGUUAAAUAGCUCGUAGUUGAAUCUUGGGGCUGGUUUGGCGGUCGCGUCUUUGACGUGUACUGUCGGCCGGUUUCCUUUUACUUGUGGGGAACGUAUGUGCCCUUUGCGGGGUGUGUUCGGGAACCAUGGUGUUACUUUUGAAAAAAAUUAGAGUGUUUAAAGCGGGCGUAAGUUUGUAUACAUUUAGCAUGGAAUAAUAGGAAUAGGACUUUGGGUAAU
rnacentral:rRNA from 1 species